CAUGUUAACUCUAAGCAUAAAUAGGUUCAACAAAAUUACAAUCAAAUUUCGACUUAAGGUAAGUCUUAUUUAACUGUACAAUUUUGCUUGAUGGUUAGUGAUAAUGGAAAAGUAACUUACAUUAACUAACUUUGGCCUGGAUUUAAACUCGAUCAAUAAAUAGUUUAUGAUGCUAUACGAUCUUACAAAUUUUUUUUGACAUUAGCUCUAAGUAAUUUCAUUUAGUUUUAAUUGACCACCAACAAUUGAUUAAUCCCUCUCACUGUUUAAACAAUAUCUUUUUCGAGUUAUAUUGUUUUCUUUCAUCUAUAUAAAUUCCACUGUAUUUAUGUCAAAACUUCUGAAUUUUAAAUAUGUU
rnacentral:lncRNA from 1 species